rnacentral:misc_RNA from 1 species
CAAAAUUGGUAAGUAGCCCUAAGGGAAGUACCAAAGAGGGCAUUUGCGUAGAGCUUACAUGGAGCUAAAUGGGAGUAAGCUAGGGAUAUCAUUGCCAUACAAGAAGAGAAUGCCUUUUUUUUAAGGGCAGCUUGCCCCAAUGGCAACUGCAAUUAUCAAUAAGUAGCCCUAAAUUCCUAAAAUAAUUGUUGGCAUGAAAAUGUAGUAAUAAUAUGAUUUUUAUUUGGUAAAUUAAAAUUAAUUUUAUUUUUAAUGUAACUGACUUUUGCAUAUAAUUAAUUUAAAUAAAUACUUUGCAAAUUAAAA